rnacentral:rRNA from 1 species
GAGUUUGAUCCUGGCUCAGAACGAACGCUGGCGGCGUGGAUAAGACAUGCAAGUCGAACGAGAGAAUUGCUAGCUUGCUAAUAAUUCUCUAGUGGCGCACGGGUGAGUAACACGUGAGUAACCUGCCCCCGAGAGCGGGAUAGCCCUGGGAAACUGGGAUUAAUACCGCAUAGUAUCGAAAGAUUAAAGCAGCAAUGCGCUUGGGGAUGGGCUCGCGGCCUAUUAGUUAGUUGGUGAGGUAACGGCUCACCAAGGCGAUGACGGGUAGCCGGUCUGAGAGGAUGUCCGGCCACACUGGAACUGAGACACGGCCCAGACUCCUACGGGAGGCAGCAGUGGGGGAUAUUGCACAAUGGGGGAAACCCUGAUGCAGCGACGCCGCGUGGAGGAAGAAGGUCUUCGGAUUGUAAACUCCUGUUGUUGGGGAAGAUAAUGACGGUACCCAACAAGGAAGUGACGGCUAACUACGUGCCAGCAGCCGCGGUAAUUC